GAGAGAGAGAGAGAGAGAGAGAGAGAGAGAGAGUAUAGAGUACAAUAUAGUCAUGUGUAAAGUGCAAUGUAUCGUUGUUGUCUAAUGCUUAUAGACCUCCUCCUGGUGCCUCUGUGAGAGAGGAGAGCGCGAGAGCGAGCGAUGGCUUCGAGGGCGAAGGCUUUGACGGCGACACUACUGGCCGUCGUGUUUCUGUCUCUCACGAUGGCUCCGACUUGGUCCAUGGCGUUUCUGAUUUUGUUCGGAAUGAUUGCCCCUGCAGUUGUUGCUGCUGGAAAAAAGAUGAGAAGAAACCCGGCUCUUGCAGCUGAUGCUCCGGCUCUUGAUGUUGAUGCUCUGGCUCUUGAUGUUGAUGCUCUGGCUGUUGAAGUUGAUGCUGCUGGAAAGAUGAGAAGAAAGCCGGAAUCAUCUUCGUCGUCGUCUGGAAUCGAGUAUGACUUAUACUUGAGUUUUAGAGAUACAGAUGCCCACGAAUUCGUGAGUCACCUUUACACUGAAUUGGAUAGAGCAGGGAUAAGGGUCUUCAUAGACAGCGAAGGACUCCGUAAAGGAGAAGAGAUCGGGUUCAAGCUAAAAGAGGAGAUCAAGCGGUCGAGGAUCUGUAUAGCCGUCCUCUCUCCAAAUUUUGCUUCCAGUAAAUUUUGCCUCGAUGAGCUGUUACAAAUGUGGGAGUUCAGAGAAUUAAAUGGACAUACUAUUAUCCCUAUUUUCUAUGAAGUUAGUUCAUCCGAUGUAAAACACCAGGCUGGGGAUUUUGGAAGGUCCUUCGAUCGAUAUGAGAAACUGGGAGUCGACUUAAAUACCAUCGAAACAUGGAGGAAGGUUCUUCGACAGAUCGGGAGUAUGAAGGCGUCAUCGAUUGCGGCGAAGCCAAAUGGGGACGAGGGCCAGCUCGCAGAAGAAGUUGCACGUGUGGUGCACGUGUUGAAAAAGGGUGACCAAGUUAUAACCGACAAACUAGUUGGGAUUGAUGAUCAUGUUGAAAAGAUGAUGAAGAUCCUUGGUUUUGCCUACAGGAAGGGACAAGCGACCGAAGAACGUGGCGGAGACGUACGCAUCCUCGGAAUAUGGGGUAUGCCGGGUAUUGGAAAGACUACACUUGCAAAGGUUGUCUUUAACAAGAUGCGUAAGUUAUUUGAUGCAAGUAGCUUCCUUGAAGAUAUUAGCUUGGAAGGAGUCGAGUUUUCACGACGAAAGUUGAUUGUUGACCUUCAAAAGCAAAAACCUGCGCCAGUUGAAUCUUCCGGUGAAGGGAUUGAAGAAAUAGCAAGUCUAUGUCGUAAUGCGAAGGUUCUCAUUGUGCUUGACAAUAUAUGCGAGAGUCAACCAAUUAAAGCAUUAACUGGGAACCUUACUUGGUUGAGUCCGGGAAGUAGAAUCAUUGUGACGACGAACAAAAGAAAUGUCUUAAACGCUUUGGCCUUUGGAGCACUUGAUCGUUGGACAGUUUUUACAUACGAGGUCGGAGACAUGAGGGAUGACCAUGCUCAUAAACUCUUUUGUAAGUAUGCUUUUCGAGGGGCUGCUGCCCAAGAUGUCUCCGAAUAUUUUGGCUUGUCCAUGGACAUUGCCAAAGCUAUUGGAGGGCUUCCUUCAUCCAUUGUGGAUCAUGCUUCAUCUUUACGCGACAAUAUGAAUAUACAUACAUGGAAGAGUACCUUGGGAUUAUUGAAAAAAAAAACCCAAAAAAUAUAGGCAAGCUGCCUUUCAAGUCAGUUAUGCAGGAGGAUCAGAGCUUGGAAAUUCCGUUUAAGAUUAUCGACUCACAAGCCCAAUUCAAGACUCACCAAUUAACCAAAGCCCCUCUGUUAGUUAGGCAAGCAAACCGGAGUAGAUUUUGGCCCAUCCAAGGAGCACAGCCUGAUCCAACAGGUCCAAUGUGGAGGAAGAAGCCCUGGACUUUUGGAGUAAGAAUGCAUUGCACAAAUCUUGAGACAAUGCCAGGCUGGAGGGUUGAAUCCGAUGACCUGGGAGCACACACAGGUUUACCAAAAGGUUCCUGGAUUGCAUUGCCAUCAGGAGUAGUACAGGGCCUCGUUACAUCUAAUUUUAUAAGUGCACUCCUUUCUCAUUCUAGACAUCGUAUCAUUCUUUUGACCUUUGGAAGCUUUUGAGGAGGAGAUCUCUUCGGGUAACCAUAAAGUACGCCAUCUACAAAGACCGCUCGCCAGGGACCAAUAAGAAGGGCUUCGCAUUGCACAGUGAAGUAGUGGCCCACUUCGCAGCUGUUUACGCAUUUCUCUAGUCUGCCAGAGAGAUUGAAAAGGAAUCAUAACCGAUUCCUUCAUCAUUGUUAUUACUACAGGAAGGCAGUUUCAAGCCAACACCAACCAGAGUCAUGCUAGAAUAUACCCUCUAUUCUAUCAGCAGUGAUCCUCACUCAGUCUGCGCGAGGUGUCUGUGCCAUCCCAGCCAAUUCUGGACUUCUGGUUUGCUGUCGUGACUAUAAUGUAGCUCUAGUACCUGCACACCUUGCACAAUUAUGCAUUGAUGCUGCUAUGUGAAAAGUAGUUUCCA